rnacentral:rRNA from 1 species
AACGUAGGUUCCGAGCGUUAUCCGGAUUUACUGGGCGUGAAGCGCGUUCAGGCGGUUGGGCAAGUCGGGCAUGAAAUCUCUGGGCUCAACCUGGAGAGGUUGUCCGAUACUGCCGAACUGGAGGGCAGUAGAGGGUGGUGGAAUUCCGGGUGUAGUGGUGAAAUGCGUAGAGAUCCGGAGGAACACCACUGGCGAAAGCGGCCACCUGAACUGCACCUGACGCUGCAGCGCGAAAGCUAGGGGAGCGAACGGG